UACAGAGGGGGCCAGCGUUAUUCGGAAUUAUUGGGCGUAAAGGGCGCGUAGGCGGCCAUGCGUGUCUUCCGUGAAAUCCCUCGGCUUAACUGAGGACGUGCGGAAGAAAACUGCAAGGCUUGAGUCCGGGGAGGAGGGGGGUGGAAUUCCCAGUGUAGCGGUGAAAUGCGUAGAUAUUGGGAGGAACACCGGGUGGCGAAGGCGGCCCCCUGGACCGGU
rnacentral:rRNA from 1 species